AGCUUGUUGGUGGGGUAAUGGCCUACCAAGGCGACGACGGGUAGCCGGCCUGAGAGGGUGUCCGGCCACACUGGGACUGAGAUACGGCCCAGACUCCUACGGGAGGCAGCAGUGGGGAAUAUUGCACAAUGGGCGCAAGCCUGAUGCAGCCACGCCGCGUGGGUGAAGACGGCCUUCGGGUUGUAAACCCCUUUCAGUAUCGGCGAAGCUCCAGGGUUUUCGUUGGGAUGACGGUAGGUAAAGAAUAAGCACCGGCCAACUACGUGCCAGCAGCCGCGGUAAUACGUAGGGUGCAAGCGUUACUCGGAAUUACUGGGCGUAAAGCGCUCGUAGGUGGUUUGUCGCGUUGUCCGUGAAAGCCCACAGCUCAACUGGGAACGUGCAGUCGAUACUGGAAGACUAGAAUACUGUAGGGGAGACUGGAAUUCCUGGUGUAGCAGUGAAAUGCGUAGAGAUCAGGAGGAACAUCGAUGGCGAAGGCAGGUCUCUGGGCAGCAACUGACACUGAGGCACGAAAGCGUGGGGAGCAAACAGGAUUAGAUACCCUGGUAGUCCACGCCGUAAACGAUGGGAACUGGAUGUUGGUUUCCUUAAUUUAGGGAGCAGUAUCGUAGCUAACGCGUUAAGUACCCCGCCUGGGGAGUACGGUCGCAAGACUGAAACUCAAAGGAAUUGACGGGGGCCCGCACAAGCGGUGGAGUAUGUGGAUUAAUUCGAUGCCACGCGAAGAACCUUACCUGGUCUUGACAUG
rnacentral:rRNA from 1 species